CAAUAGCCUGUAAUUUUGGGGGAGUCUAUAAGAUCCCACUGGUCAACCAGUCAAAAACAUCCCAUUCUUGGCACUUGGGAGUUUAUGUGGUAGCAUAUGGUGUCAUGUCCAGACUGACAUUAAUAGCUUUUCAUUGAGAUGAGAAAUCAUAAUAAUUACUCUGGAGAAGAUGACAAAGAUAAAUGUUAUUCAUAUAAGUAUGCAGAUGAUCAAGGGAUUGAUUGAUGGUUGGCCCCCUGAAAAAGCAACUGAUCAUUCUACUCUUUUAGGCUGGUGGAUCUCUUAGCAUCAUCUGAAGAAUAAACAGAAGGUAAUCAAUUUGGAA